rnacentral:pre_miRNA from 1 species
CACCAGUACCUAGCGUGGAACUAGUAUGGAGCAGGCUGACCUUACACAAGAAAAAGCCCUCAGUCCUUCAAGCUAGUACCCCUUUAGGGCUGGCACGAUCGAC